UUGCUGUCCCGGCUUUGGCAGCACAUACACUAAAGUUAGCGUGAUUCAGAAAGAUUAGCAUGGCCCACGUGGAAGGAUAACAUACAGAUUUGCAAAACGCUCCACAUUUUU
rfam:Ornithorhynchus anatinus chromosome 2, whole genome shotgun sequence.